AUUGAACGCUGGCGGCAUGCUUUACACAUGCAAGUCGAACGGGCUUAGGGGCUUGCUCCUAAGUUAGUGGCGAACGGAUGAGUAAUACAUCGGAACGUACCGUGUAGUGGGGGAUAACGUAGCGAAAGUUACGCUAAUACCGCAUACGAUCUACGGAUGAAAGUGGGGGACCUUCGGGCCUCACGCUAUACGAGCGGCCGAUGUCUGAUUAGCUAGUUGGUGAGGUAAAGGCUCACCAAGGCAACGAUCAGUAGCGGGUCUGAGAGGAUGAUCCGCCACACUGGGACUGAGACACGGCCCAGACUCCUACGGGAGGCAGCAGUGGGGAAUUUUGGACAAUGGGCGAAAGCCUGAUCCAGCCAUGCCGCGUGUCUGAAGAAGGCCUUCGGUUGUAAGGACGUUUAGUCUAGGGAGGCGAAACUUAAGAGGUUAAGUAAACCUUUAGUAGGUU
rnacentral:rRNA from 1 species